AAGAGUUUGAUCCUGGCUCAGGACGAACGCUGGCGGCGUGCCUAACACAUGCAAGUCGAACGGAGAAUUUCAAUAAGCUUGCUUAGAGAAAUUUUUAGUGGCGGACGGGGUGGGUAACCUACCCAUAAACCCGGGACAACCCUUGGAAACGAGGGCUAAUACCGGAUAAUCUUUGAGAGUGGCAUCACUCUUAAAGAAAAGGUGGCCUCUGAAAAUGCUACCGAUUAUGGAUGGACCCGCGUCUGAUUAGCUAGUUGGUGGGGUAAAGGCCUACCAAAGCGACGAUGGGUAGCCGGCCUGAGAGGGUGACCGGCCACACUGGAACUGAGAUACGGUCCAGACUCCUACGGGAGGCAGCAGUGGGGAAUCUUCCGCAAUGGGCGAAAGCCUGACGGAGCAACGCCGCGUGAGCGAAGAAGGUCUUCGGAUUGUAAAGCUCUGUGAUAUUGGACGAACAGUUUUCCUGUGAAUAAUGGGAAGAAAUGACGGUACAAUAAGAGGAAGCCACGGCUAACUACGUGCCAGCAGCCGCGGUAAUACGUAGGUGGCAAACGUUGUCCGGUUACUGGGCGUAAAGGGCGAGUAGGUGGUUUAUUAAGUCAAGAGUGAAAACUCCAGGCUCAACUUGGAGACUGCUCUACGAAACUGGUAGACUUGAGUGCAAGAGAGGGAAGUGGAAUUCCUAGUGUAGCGGUGAAAUGCGUAGAUAUUAGGAGGAACACCAGUGGCGAAGGCGACUUCCUGGCUUGUAACUGACACUGAGGCGCGAAAGCGUGGGGAUCAAACAGGAUUAGAUACCCUGGUAGUCCACGCCGUAAACGAUGAGUGCUAGGUGUCGGGGGUAUCGACCCCCCUCGGUGCCACAGCUAACGCAAUAAGCACUCCGCCUGGGGAGUACGGUCGCAAGACUGACUCAAAGGAAUUGACGGGGGCCCGCACAAGCGGUGGAGUAUGUGGUUUAAUUCGACGCAACGCGAAGAACCUUACCAAGGCUUGACAUCCCGUGACAGCCAUGGAAACAUGGUCUUGCAAGUUUACUUGCACACGGAGACAGGUGGUGCAUGGUUGUCGUCAGCUCGUGUCGUGAGAUGUUGGGUUAAGUCCCGCAACGAGCGCAACCCCUGUGUUUAGUUGCUAACGUUUAAGGCGGGGCACUCUAAUGAGACUGCCGGGGACAACUCGGAGGAAGGUGGGGAUGACGUCAAAUCAUCAUGCCCCUUAUGUCCUGGGCUACACACGUGCUACAAUGGCCGGUACAGACGGAAGCGAAGCCGCGAGGUGAAGCCAAACCUCACAAAGUACGUCUCAGUUCAGAUUGGAGUCUGCAACUCGACUCCAUGAAGGCGGAAUCGCUAGUAAUCGCGGAUCAGCAUGCCGCGGUGAAUACGUUCCCGGGCCUUGUACACACCGCCCGUCACACCACGAAAGUCUGCAACACCCGAAGCCGGUGAGGUAACCCGUAAGGGAGCUAGCCGUCGAAGGUGGGGCCGAUGAUUGGGGUGAAGUCGUAACAAGGUAACCA
rnacentral:rRNA from 1 species